AUUCCAAACGAACUUGGAGAUAGCUGGUUCUCUCCGAAAUAGCUUUAGGGCUAGCCUCGUGUGAAUGAUAAUGGAGGUAGAGCGCUGUUUGGACUAGGGGCCCGUCAGGGGUUACUGAAUCCAGAUAAACUCCGAAUGCCAGAUAUCAAUGCACGGGAGUCAGACUGCGAGUGAUAAGAUCCGUAGUCGAAAGGGAAACAGCCCAGAUCACCAGUUAAGGUCCCCAAAUCUAUGCUAAGUGGAAAAGGAUGUGGAGUUGCGUAGACAACUAGGAUGUUGGCUUAGAAGCAGCCACCAUUUAAAGAGUGCGUAAUAGCUCACUAGUCGAGUGACGCUGCGCCGAAAAUGUACCGGGGCUAAGCAUAGUACCGAAACUGUGGAUGCAUAUCAAAGGAUAUGCGUGGUAGGAGAGCGUUCUAAGAGCGGCGAAGUUAGAUCGAGAGGACUAAUGGAGCGCUUAGAAGUGAGAAUGCCGGUAUGAGUAGCGAAAGAUAGGUGAGAAUCCUAUCCGCCGAAAGACUAAGGUUUCCUGGGGCAGGCUCGUCCGCCCAGGGUAAGUCGGGACCUAAGGUAAGGCCGAGAGGCGUAGCCGAUGGACAACAGGUAGAGAUUCCUGUACUGAAAUUGUUCGAUAAGAGCAAAGGAGGGACGCAGGAGGCUAAUGACGCAUGUAGCUGGAAAAACAUGUGCAAGCAGUAAGAAAAAAGAUGAGUCAAAUGCUUAUGUUUAGAUUUCAAGCUGUGACGCGGAGUGAAAUCAAAGUAGCGAAGGUCAUGAUGUCACACUGCCAAGAAAAGCUUCUAGCCAGAGCAAUUUUACCCGUACCGCAAACCGACACAGGUAGUCGAGUGGAGAACACUCAGGUGAGCGAGAGAACUCUCGUUAAGGAACUCGGCAAAAUGACCCCGUAACUUCGGGAGAAGGGGUGCUGAGCGCAAGCUCAGCCGCAGUGAAUAGGCCCAGGCGACUGUUUAUCAAAAACACAGGUUUCUGCAAAAUCGUAAGAUGAAGUAUAGGGGCUGACGCCUGCCCGGUGCUGGAAGGUUAAGAGGAUGGGUUAGCGUAAGCGAAGCUCAGAAUUGAAGCCCCAGUAAACGGCGGCCGUAACUAUAACGGUCCUAAGGUAGCGAAAUUCCUUGUCGGGUAAGUUCCGACCCGCACGAAAGGCGUAACGAUCUGGGCACUGUCUCAACGAGAGACUCGGUGAAAUUGAAUUGCCUGUGAAGAUGCAUCCUCACCCGCGUUAUAAUUGUCAAUAUCGGUAAGUAAAGCUAUUUCUUCGAGAUAAUCGUUGAGGGUUGCAUCUUCAUUAUCUUCUUCGUAUCUGACAAGGUUUGAUUUAAGCUCGUUUAUAUUUUGCAUACGGUCGUCGAACUUUUCGGGAUUGGACCGAAGAUAGCCUACAUAACCGGUUUCUUCUAUAAUACUGUCAUAUAGCUCCGGCAAGCCCUCUGUUUCGGAGAGAGACAUCAGUCUAUCCAUCAUUGCAGUAAAUUGAAUCAGCUUUCCGGAGGUACGCUUUAACACCUCGUACUGAUCGGCGGUUUUUAAAACCUCAUAUAGCGUAAUACCGAGAGUUUCGGCUAUUUCGCCGGCUUUGGCAACCGUAGAAUCACCUAUACCGCGUUUCGGUACAUUUAUUAUUCGUCUCAAUCUUACAGAAUCGGACGGAUUGUUUAUAACGUUAAGAUAGGCAUGUAUGUCUUUGAUUUCGGCUCUGUCAUAGAACUUAUGACCGCCUAUAAUCCUGUACGGAAUGGCAUUUUUUACAAGUGCGCGCUCAAUAGAGUUUGACAUUGCGUUCAUCCUGUAAAGAACAGCAUGAUCGCUCCACUUUCUGCCCUUCGCCACAGAAUUUAAAAUUUGCUCGGCAAUAUAACGCGCCUCAUCUGUCUCAUCCGCAGCGGUGCUCAGUUCUAUUUUUUCUCCGCUGCCGUUUGCCGU
rnacentral:rRNA from 1 species